UUCCGGUUGAUCCUGCCGGACCCGACUGCUAUCAGAGUGGGACUAAGCCAUGCGAGUCAACGCAGCAAUGCGUGGCAUACGGCUCACGUAACACGUAGUCAACAUGCCCAGGCGACGUGGAUAACCUCGGGAAACUGAGGAUAAACCGCGAUAGGCCAAGGUUUCUGGAAUGGAUCAUGGCUGAAACCUACAUGGCCCCUGGAUUGGACUGCGGCCGAUCAGGCUGUUGGUGAGGUAAUGGCCCACCAAACCUGUAACCGGUACGGGCUCUGAGAGGAGGAGCCCGGAGAUGGGCACUGAGACAAGGGCCCAGGCCCUAUGGGGCGCAGCAGGCGCGAAACCUCUGCAAUAGGCGAAAGCUUGACAGGGUUACUCUGAGUGAUGUCCGCUAAGGGCAUCUUUUGGCACUUCUAAAAAUAGUGUAGAAUAAGGGGUGGGCAAGUCUGGUGUCAGCCGCCGCGGUAAUACCAGCACCCCGAGUGGUCGGGACGAUUAUUGGGCCUAAAGCAUCCGUAACCGGUUCUGUCAGGUCUUCCGUUAAAUCCACCUGCUCAACAAAUGGGCUGCGAAGAAUACUACAGGCUAAGAAGGCGG
rnacentral:rRNA from 1 species